AGUUUUCCCCAAAUUGAUUUCCAUCUCCCCAAAAUUAACCGCUCACAUUUAAGAUCUGCAGUCAUCGAUUUCCUCCAGGGUCGGAGUUUGAGAAACUGUUGAGCAGCCAGUUAGGGUUUUGAACAAGAUGAUGUCAGUGGUCGGAAUGGUAGUAUCGAACAAAAUGUAGAAAUCGGUGGUGGUGGCCGUCGAUAGGCUCUUCCAUAACAAGCUCUACAAUCGAUACUUCAAAUGCACAUCCAUAUUCAUGGCACACGACGAAACAAAUCAGUGCAAUAUCGGCGAUCGACACGCUUGAGGCGCGAGGUGCACUAAGGCCAGGCCUCAGCGUAAGUUUAUGAGAACGAAGGGGGUAUUAUAAGAUCAUAAGAUUUCAAGAUGACAAGAUGAGGCUAAUAAGGAUGAGGAGAAUGAAGACAUGGAUGAUAUGACAAGUUACAUUUUAUUUAGCAAAAUGAAUUACUUCUUUUGGUGCCUGAGUGCCCCUUCUCUUCAGUCCUCUCUGCUUCUCGUUGCCGCCCUUUCUUUGCUAGACCGUCACUAGCACAUUAUUUGGUAGUCGCUGCCCCACCGGUGUGUAGUUGAUUACUUGAAGAAGGCGGUUGGGUGCCUGCAGUUCUGGCAUCGUAGAACGCUUAAAACUAAAGUGGAAGGUAGCAUGGAGAGGCCCACUUAGAAGAAUUUCCAAGUUUGAUCAGGGGCCCCGAGGUCGUUGACAAAAAUAAAGAGAUUUCUUCUCGCAACAAAUUCCUUGGCUUGCUGAGUAGACAUGAUGUUUUCUUUAGUUGAGCGAGAUACCAAGGGUUGUCAUUGAUUAACCAAAGUCGACUUAAUUGAAACUGAUUGGUUAUCAUUGAUAAAUAUGAUGACACUGCAACGUAAAUUUUAGUUGCUUGCUCUAUGGCUCAAAUCAUUUGGCUAUGAAGACAUUCAUUUUGCAAUUGCGGAACAUAUGAAGAACUACAAAUCUUUAGAAGAAGAUGAAGUGAUUUGGUUGAUCCUUUUAUCCUUGUAAUGAACAAGGAGCAUGAUGGCUACAUUUGACUUUAUGGAAGAGGUGUUACUUUAAAAAUGAUGAACAAAAUGGGAGAUGGUGAGGAACCAUACAUGAUACAUGAUUUCGGGCUUAAGCAAUAAUUCAAAGCCAGCCUUGAAGUUAAAAAGACACAGUUGCUUGAAAUUCAAGAAAACCAUCAAAAAAAAAAAAAAAGCAAAGCCAGAAGCUAUAUAGAAAGAUUUUGACAACCAAUGAGCUAACUUUGAAACUACGAUGCAAAAUAUCAUUGAAAAACUUUCUAUUAGAGUACUUGAAGUUCUUAGAGAUGAGCAGAGGUUUCCGUUACAUUUUAUCAUUGUUAUUUUGAUUAAUUGUUAUUAUGAGUCUAGACGUAUUAUGAUAAAAGAUUAUUUAUUAUAUUUAUGUUA